CCAAGAUGAUGGACUAGUUUCUCAAUUCAAACCCACAAACACCUAUAUUGGCGACGGCUGCUUUCAGGCUGGGCGGCCCUGUGGAAACCACCCUCUCGGGCAGAUGGUUGUAAAUCAGCCCAGCUGUGUGUCUCCCGGGACUUGUUGGGCAGCAGCAGCAGCAGCAGCAGCAGAAAGCCAGUGGGACUGUGGAAGGCAGGCAGGACACACCACUGAGCUGGGAACCCCAAGGCAGUCCAAGUGCCCAGCGUCAGGGAGCCGCAUCACCACUCCUGGGCAGGGACCCAGGAAUGACAGGCAGGCUGUUUCCUGUUUGCGCCGCUCCACGCAAGGCCACUGGAUCACCUCCACGCUGCUCGGCCUUGCGCCAACCAGGCCGGCCGCAUACCCCGCACUGUAGUUCAGCCAGCUCUUCUGCAGGGACGUUUCCAGGCUUCCUCCGUGGAAUCGCCUCUGCUAGCUGGAGCCGAAGGGGUGGAGCUGCUACAGGGACCAGCUCCUGACGCGUCCACGCUCAGGUGAGAAGCAGAAGGGGUACUGGAUAUCGGGGAAACUGAGACAGAGUUCUCUUCCUGGGGCUGGGCUCCUGGUUUGCCCCCUCCAGGUGGGAUCUAACACAUCAGCUGGGCUGUGUGCUCAGCGCACUUGGCUUUGAGGUUGACUCUCCGGACUUCGCGAGGAGAGCAGGAAGCAGUGGUCUAGAGCAGGUCGAGCCGUGACCAGGCCUUCCUGCUUGUACGGCCAGCGGCGACUCUUCCAGGGACCCUGCUGCCGUGCAGCCAGGUGAAAAUCCCCUCGAACCACAGGAGCUCCGUUUGGUGGGGAUGGCGGCCGGCAGGCCUGGACCACCGCCCUCUCCUCCUCGUACCUUGGUCUGUCCACUGCGGACUGGCCACCUGGGCUGCGGAGCCUCUGCAGUGAACUGUCCCUCCGAGGGGCUAACACUCCACCCCAAGUACUUGGAGGUGACGUGUGACAUCCUCAGGGGCUCCCCUUCCUACCCACCCCUUUUCAAUGUGUUUUGCCUCCCUGCGUGAGGGCGGGAGGUGGGUGAGAGGUGAGACCGGGCAGGUGCACGCCGGGAGGGUGGGAGAAUGGCGUGUGUGUGUUUGCGUGUGUGUGGGGGUGUAUUUGGUGCUGCAGCAGGCUCGUGGAGGAUGGUCUCUGCCUCUGCCUCCCGCGAGGUUCAUCUCCUCCCCACGGCAGCUACCCACGGCCAAGGCCACGCCUGGAUGCACCUGCUUCCCCCUGGAAGCCGUGAGCUCUGACAGCCCCCUCUGGCCACGCCCUCCGGCCUUGGCCUCCCCGUCUCCCUGCCAUCCUGAGCCCCCUUCACUCCUACCCACCUUCCUUCUUCUCCCACCUGGCAAGGUGAGCGGUCCCUUGGCCCCACCAAGGCCAGCACCCUUCCCAGGCGCCCCAUCCCAGCUUCCACCACCUCUCUCAAGGGCACCCUCCAUCCCCACCUUCUCCCUCUUUUUCGCUACAAUCUCCUUCCACUCAGCUUGUACACAUCGCUUGCCUUCUCUCAUCUUGAAAAACUCCUUUGCUAAUAGCUGCCUUUCUUCUCUCCUUGUCUGAUCUGUAUUUGACGAUGAGGCAGUCUCCCUGGCUGUCUACAGGUCCACCCGAGGUGCCCUGGAACCAACCUCCAUUUCCACCGCUACCCUCGACCCCGACGGCUCUCAUGAGGGCCACCAGGGGCCUACCAGCUACCAAAACAAAUAGACAUUUCAUUUUUCUAAGUAGAGUCACCUUGCGUUAUAGACCUUCUACGUGCCAGCCCCUGGCGCAGGGCGGUUUAUAAGCCUUACAGGAUUUCCAGACCUUUCCCACUGCUCCCCUACUGCCUUCCCUGCAGCCUCCGGUGGUGUGGAAGCCACUUCUACAAACCACCCUCUGCUUCCGAGAGCUCACUGGCUCCUCUCGCCGAGAGCGGAGGCUUUGCUUCUUGGUUCUCCAUCUCUACGUCAAUUCCCUCUCCGAGCUCCAGAUUCCCCAACCAGAAGUCUGCUCUUCUGUGUCAAUUAGGAUGCUUUCAAUUAUAAUUAACAGAAACCCAAUUCAAACAGACUUGAACCCUAAGGGAAUUUUUGGCUCACAGAACAGGGAAUCAAGGUCAGACAGGUUUCUGAAGGGCUUUCGUCUGGUGCCACAGCCACGCUCCCAAGGCCCUGACUCCUGUACGUGUCUCUGUCUAGCUCAGGAGGUCCGCCUCCUUGUGAGGCUGACUCUUCUCCUGCCCCCAGGGUGGCUGCCCCAGAAAGAGGGCGAGAGAGAGAAAGAGAGAGAGAGAGAGAGAGAGAGAGAGAGAAGACACAUGUCUUCCCCAAGGAUCAAGCAAGACUCAGAAGGUUCACUUCAGUUGCACAACUUGGGCCACAUCUUCGUCUCAGGGCUCAUCACAGCAGGCAGGGCUGAGCUAUGACCUGCAGGGCCCCCUGGAACUUGGCCCUGGGUCAGCUUCCCCCAAAGCACAUAGAGAAAGAGAAGGGGUGGCUGCAGUCUUGCAGGAGAGGAGAGAAUCAUCACUAGACAGGAGCCCCAGCACUGCCCUCCACCACCUCCCCAAGUAGCUUCCGCCCUGCAUUCCCAUCCUCAUCUCAGUGGGUAACAGCGUCCGCCUGGUACCCGGGCCAGAAGUCCGGGAGUCAGCCUAGGUCACAGCACCUCCUCGCUGGCUACAUCUAGUCCAUCAUCAAGAGACACUGCGGUGGUAGUGGUCGUUCUAAUGUUCCACCCCAGAAGAUGUGUCCUCGCGUUUCCAUCUUCUCUCGCAAACAUGGCUGCCGCCACUGCCUUCCUGGAAUCCGGCCCCCAGCUCCUGAGUGGCCUCCCGGGCUCUGCCCCCACCCGCACGUGGCCCCCAGCACCACGCUGCAGGCGGGAGGGAAUGUGAAACGUCCGUCUUGCCUCGCCCAGCACCUAACCGGAAGGCUUCGGCAUAAAACCCUGCCUCCCUCCCCUCACGUGCCCACCGGCUUCCUAAACCCACCACGAUGUCAUUCGUACGUCCCCUCCCAUCUUCUCCGCCCAACGACCUCACGCUCCUCCUUCAAAGCCAUGCCCAGGAACGACUUUGCACGUGGGUGCCCCUGACACAUCCCUCUGUAGACUUCGCCAGUCACAAGCCCUUCUGUGCAAUUCCGCUGCCUUUUAUCCAUCAAACGGACCACGGUGAUAUCACUCACCUGGCUGGCCUACCUGAAGAAGAGACGUUGUCUCUCGUUUAUUCAGUUACUACCUCAAUCAUUCGUUCUUUCAACAGACACUUAUUAAGUGCCCACUGUCCAUUUCGCAGCGCAUUUUCUAUCCCUUACAACUGGCACGUCCCUUGACACAGACCAGGUGCCUCACUGACGGUUGUCACGCCAAAAACUGAGAUGAGAUUAUGGGAUGCCCAUUUGCGUGUAACACAUGCUAACAUGUGUCCCGGGUGCCCCUUUACUUUGGCACUGCUGCCAGGAAGACACUUGAAUUCUAGAAAAUAGUAUAUCUUCCCCUCUGGGCUCCUUCACCAUAGGUCUCUUCCGACGGGCCACCCCACAGGGCUUCUGGCGCCAGGUUUCCUGGAUUCAAAUACAGGACCCGUGUGACCUUGGAACAGCUGCUUGGCCUCAUUGGGCCUCAGUUUCCCCACAUACGAAAGAAGGAUGAUAAUAGAAAGAGUACAGACGAGUGAAGCACUUAGAAAAGCACCUGGCACACAAGGAGCCGCUCAAUAAAAGCGAGCUGUUAACAGCAUUGCACACCCCUUCUAGACGGGGGGCCCCUGCCCCAUCCUCUGUCUCAGUGCCGAAAAUCCUGCCCGGCAUAUGCCAGGGGCUUAGCAAAUGCACACUGACGGUGCACUGCCGCGGCCAUCACCGUUAUCAGAUCGUAUUUUCAUGCGUGAACCUUUGCAACUAGCAUGUGAGCUUCUUCUUCAAAUUCUUGCCUCUUUCUUAGCAUCCUGUCACCAAGUAUUAGGUGCUGGGUGGAUGUCUGUGGAGAGGAGCGAGGAGCUAAGGCAGUCAGUGGACAACUCAGAAAGGCCAUGGAAAGUGCACGGCAUUCCAGCCAGGACCCUCUGAGGCCCCUGGAGUUCAGGUUCAAUCAUGCAACAAUUCUUUGCUGGGACUCCUUUGUGGGGCUAAAGGGAACCUGACUGAAGGCAGAGUCCAGAGCCGCUGCAGACAAGCAGAUCCCAAUGUCCUCAAAAGUCAGGAGGGUGAGGAAUGGGGAGUGGCAAUCCAGCCUGUGCCAGGGACGGGGCAGCCCUCCAGGGCUCACAGCUAGUGGGUGUCCAUGGGUAUCUGUGUGUGGAGAGCGGACAGGCAGGCCAGGCAUCCCUGGGCCUCACGUCAAGUGCUUAGCACAUCAGAGGAUGACAGAAUAUAAGCCCAAAGGGACAAAGACCUGGUUACAAGCGAAGCUUCGAAUAAAAGGGAAUCCUGGGCUUCCCUGGUGGCGCAGUGGUUGAGAUCCCGCCUGCCAAUGCAGGGGACGCGGGUUCGUGCCCCGGUCCGGGAGGAUCCCACAUGCCGCGGAGCAGCUGGGCCCGUGAGCCAUGGCCACUGAGCCUGCGUGUCCGGAGCCUGUGCUCCGCAAUGGGAGAGG